rnacentral:lncRNA from 10 species
AGAGAAAUGACAUAAUUUGUGCAAUGUCAUCUAGUAAUAUUGAAAGAAGACAAACUUUAUAAAAUUUGACUACAGAAAUGGCUUAGUUAUUCAACAACAAGUAUUUGUGGAAAUUAAUUAUGACAUCUGACACCUGAAAAAAUGCCUCUUAAAAUUUUGAAUUGAUUAAAAACAAUAAACCAGAUUGUAUAACCUGACUUUCAGAUCCAAGACUGAGGCAGUUUGAAUUGAAAGAGGCCCACAGGAAAUAGUUUUCUGAUAAAAAAUAAAGAUGGGGAAGGGGAUUGAUUUCUUAAAACUUUAGAUAAUUAGAAAUGAGAAUAUGAUAGAAAAGCCAAAGAGAUAGAGGGAAAGAAAAGGUGUUUUUUUUUUUUUUUUUUUCAGCAGUAGUGAUUCAAGACAGUGUGAGCUAAGGCCUUUGUCAAAAGUUCCAAAACAUUUUUUCCAUGUAUAUGUAUAUACCUAUUAUAUCUGUCCCUGAGAUAUGAGCUAUGUGUUGUUAUUCAGACUAUUAAACUUUUAAACUUCAGGGUCUUCCUCUGGAAAGCUGGAAAAAAAUAAUGGUAUCCACUGGUGAGGACUGAAUGUGAUAAUCUAGGUGAAGUACUUUAUUUCUGCAGAACUCACUCUAGGUAACAUUGUAAACAGCAAUAAGCAAAAAGUAGCUGGCUGCAGUGGGAAGAAUAUGGGCAUAGACCCUGGCAUCCUACAACCUGGGUUCCCAUGCUAUCUCUGCUUCUCCAAAUAACUGUACAUGUGUCAUGUUCGGUCUUUGAAGUUCAGUUUUUCAUAUGAAAUAUGGGUAUGGUAAUAACUAAAUCCCAGGUUUUCUGCAGGAAUUGAUAAAAUAUAUGUAAAAGAAACUAGCAUUUAGUUAUUCUUUAUGUCUGUUGUCUCCUCUGUCACCCCAUUUGUGUCCCUCCCUGAUCCUCCUAGCCCCCUUUGUCCUGGCAGAUCACCCAUGCCUUAUUCCCAAAUGGCCUGCCCCUUAAGAGAUCAUUCAAAAGCUCCUCAAAUAUAUGGUCUAAAAACACUCUAAUAUGUUAUUUCUCCCCUCAGGUUCGCAUUUUAAUGGCAAUCCUUGAAAACCUAAAAGCCUUAGAAACUAGAAGAAAUCAAUGUUUAAUGAUGGAACUUGAAACAUUAUGACAAAGGAGAAGGAGCUGAAAGGAAUUUUUAGACAUCACUGAGUGCAACCAAUUCAUCUUCUGCAUGAGCAAACAUAGAAGGAGAGAGAGAAAUGACAGGUGUCACACUACAGCCCCAGAUUUCCUAACACAAACUCCAGGAAAAGAAUCAUAUUGACUCACCUAGUAAUCUACCAAGCCCUGUCAGAGGCUAUGGACCUUCCUAUUCCACUUUUCAACGCCUGUCAAAGAUGACAAAGAUGACAAACAAGUGAUGAGGACACUGAGGCACAAUUAAAGAAUAACUUGUCAAAGAUCACAGUGUUAUUAGCAGUGAGAAAGAAUGCAGAUAAAAUCUUCCAACUCUGCAUCCCCCAUGUGCCCCACACCUUGCCCCGGGGUUACUGAAGACAGAGAACCACUGCAAACUGGUCGCAGGCUACCUUUUCAACCCUCACUGUCACCACACUAGAUGCUGGGCUGCUACUUCUGGAAUGCUCUACUCACUCCGUGCUUUCUCCAUUGCUGAGGUUUUCCUCUCCCUCCCUCUCUUCUCUGUGCUCACCUGGAGAAACUCCUUCAUCCUUCAAGGUCUCCAAUGUCACUCACUCCCUGUGGACUUCCCUUCCCACCUCCCUUCCCUUCCCUAGACAACGUUUAAUUAUUUCCACAGCACUAGGAUCAGGCUUCUGUCAUGCAGUUCGCAUGUUAUGUCACAGCUAAUUGUUUACUAUUCUGUCUCUUCUUUCAGAUUAAGAGCUCCUCAAAGAAGAAAUAUCAUUUUAUUCAUCUGUGUUCUCUAAUGUCAAACAAAGUGACUAGCAUAUAAUAGAUAGGCAUUUAAUUAUAUAUUGAAUUGAAUUGGAUACAACUGCUUUAGCUGUCCAUUUGAUUUUGACCCAAUAAGGGUUACAACAAAAUAAAAUCAGAAACCCUUUCACCUAGUGUAGGACUAAUAUAAUAAAAGAUUUUAGUCAAUGAAUUCACAGCUUUGGUCUUGAUUCGGAAUACCUUAUUUUAUGAUUUUUUUUUUCUGUGAGGGCAUUCUAAUUUAGUAAAAAUACCUGUUUGGUUUGUCAGGUUACUAUGGGCGAAUGUAGAAGGCUUGAA